UCAGACGAUGCGUCAUGCAUAUCAAUAAGCGGAGGAAAAGAAACUAACAAGGAUUCCCUUAGUAACGGCGAGUGAAGCGGGAAGAGCUCAAAUUUGAAAUCUUCAAGGUUUUACCUUGACGAAUUGUAGUUUAAAGAAGUGUUUUCUGUUGAAGUUUUGGUAAAAGUUCUUUGGAAUAGGACAUCAUAGAGGGUGAGAAUCCCGUAUUUGACCAUUAUUUUCAGCUGUGUGAUACACUUUCAAAGAGUCGGAUUGUUUGGGAAUGCAGUCCAAAAUGGGUGGUAAAUUUCAUCUAAAGCUAAAUAUUGGCGAGAGACCGAUAGCGAACAAGUACCGUGAGGGAAAGAUGAAAAGAACUUUGAAAAGAGAGUUAAACAGUACGUGAAAUUGUCAAAAGGGAAGCGUUUGACACCAGUGUUGUUUUCUCGAAAAUCAAUUAAAAAGAGUUAGAUUUUGUUGUGUAUUGACCUUAACAGCUUGCAUUUCAAUUUUCUUGCUUUUUUUAAUGCACUUUUCGUUUAACAAGUCAACAUCAGUUUCUUUUGUUGUAAAAAGGUCAUUGGAAGGUGGCUUUCUUUUCGGAGAAAGUGUUUAUAGCCUUUGACUCCUGCAAUCGGAGAGACUGAGGUCUGCAGCGUAGAUCCUUCGGGGUUAGAUACAUUUGUGCUAAGUUAUAGCUUUUUAUAGACAACUUGUUGACUAUGAUUAGUCUUGUAGCUUACUCGCUUAUGCUAUUUUACCUACGCUUAGGAUGUUGAGUCGUAGAGCACGCAG
rnacentral:rRNA from 1 species